CGUUAAGUAACUUAAAUUUAAAGUGUUGGUCUCUUAAACCAAAUUAUAGUAUAAUUACUCUUAAUG
rnacentral:tRNA from 1 species